GAUGAAGAACGCAGCGAAAUGCGAUAAGUAAUGUGAAUUGCAGAAUUCAGUGAAUCAUCGAAUCUUUGAACGCACAUUGCGCCCGCCAGUAUUCUGGCGGGCAUGCCUGUUCGAGCGUCAUUACAACCCUCAGGCCCCCGGGCCUGGCGUUGGGGAUCGGCGGAAGCCCCCUGCGGGCACAACGCCGUCCCCCAAAUACAGUGGCGGUCCCGCCGCAGCUUCCAUUGCGUAGUAGCUAACACCUCGCAACUGGAGAGCGGCGCGGCCACGCCGUAAAACACACAACUUCUGAAUGUUGACCUCGAAUCAGGUAGGAAUACCCGCUGAACUUAAGCAUAUCAAUAAGCGGAGGA
rnacentral:misc_RNA from 1 species